GGGAGGAAUGCUCCGCUCUUUUGUUCCCAGGAAGGGAAAAACGGGGCGGAGGUUCCUGCUGCCAUGUUGUGGCCCUGGUCUUCCGCCUGCAAGUGCUAGUCCUGUACACCCGGCCCCCUCUCGCGCGUCUUUCCACGAGCUCUCCACGGGGAGGAGGCGAAAGGGUGGACAGGGGAAAACUGCUGAAGAGCUUUCGGAGAGACCUCAUCUAGUCGCUGGCCUCGUCAAGGCAGUAAAAAUUCCUAGGGCAGACAUUUUCCACGUGAUGUUGCUCGUGUCUGUAGUUAGACUUUUCUAUUGAUCUCAGUGCUCAGUUUUAAAGAUAGUAGAAUGUGGCUUUUUCAAAAGAUUCGUUCUGAGCCGUUUAAAAUGCUCUUGUGUUCUACGAAGUCUCUUUGCAUCCUUGAACACCGGGGAAUUUCCAGGUAUUUCAUUUCUCCUGUCCCCUCCCCUCCCCACCCCAUCUAUUAAUAUUAUUCUUUUGAAGAUUCUUCGUUGUCAAGCCGCCAAAGUGGAGAGUGCGAUUGCAGAAGGGGGUGCUUCUCGUUUCAGCGAGUUCCUGGGGAAAACCCCAGGGCAAAACGCUCAGAAAUGGAUUCCUGCACGAAGCACUAGACGAGAUGACAACUCCGCAGCAAACAACUCCGCAAACGAAAAAGAACGACAUGAUGCAAUCUUCAGGAAAGUAAGAGGCAUACUAAAUAAGCUUACUCCUGAAAAGUUUGACAAGCUAUGCCUUGAGCUCCUCAAUGUGGGUGUAGAGUCUAAACUCAUCCUUAAAGGGGUCAUACUGCUGAUUGUGGACAAAGCCCUAGAAGAGCCAAAGUAUAGCUCACUGUAUGCUCAGCUAUGUCUGCGAUUGGCAGAAGAUGCACCAAACUUUGAUGGCCCAGCAGCAGAGGGUCAACCAGGACAGAAGCAAAGCACCACAUUCAGACGCCUCCUAAUUUCCAAAUUACAAGAUGAAUUUGAAAACCGAACUAGAAAUGUUGAUGUCUAUGAUAAGCGUGAAAAUCCCCUCCUCCCCGAGGAGGAGGAACAGAGAGCCAUUGCUAAGAUCAAGAUGUUGGGAAACAUCAAAUUCAUUGGAGAGCUUGGCAAGCU
rnacentral:lncRNA from 1 species